GACGAACGCUGGCGGCGUGCUUAACACAUGCAAGUCGAACGGAAAGGCCCUGCUUUUGUGGGGUGCUCGAGUGGCGAACGGGUGAGUAACACGUGAGUAACCUGCCCUUGACUUUGGGAUAACUUCAGGAAACUGGGGCUAAUACAGGAUAGGAGCUCCUGCUGCAUGGUGGGGGUUGGAAAGUUUCGGCGGUUGGGGAUGGACUCGCGGCUUAUCAGCUUGUUGGUGGGGUAGUGGCUUACCAAGGCUUUGACGGGUAGCCGGCCUGAGAGGGUGACCGGCCACAUUGGGACUGAGGUACGGCCCAGACUCCUACGGGAGGCAGCAGUGGGGAAUAUUGCACAAUGGGCGGAAGUCUGAGGCAGCAACGCCGCGUGCGUGAUGACGGCCUUCGGGUUGUAAACCGCUUUCGCCUGUGACGAAGCGUGAGUGACGGUAAUGGGUAAAGAAGCACCGGCUAACUACGUG
rnacentral:rRNA from 1 species